rnacentral:rRNA from 1 species
CCUACGUGGUGCAGCAGUGAGGAAUAUUGGUCAAUGGGCGCGAGCCUGAACCAGCCAAGUAGCGUGAAGGAUGAAUGCCCUACGGGUUGUAAACUUCUUUUAUAAAGGAAUAAAGUGAGGCACGUGUGCCUUUUUGUCUGUACUUUAUGAAUAAGGAUCGGCUAAAUCCGUGCCAGCAGCCGCGGUAAUACGGAGGAUACGAGCGUUAUCCGGAUUUAUUGGGUUUAAAGGGGGCGUAGAUGGGUUGUUAAGUCAGUUGUGAAAGUUUGCGGCUUAACCGUAAAAUUGCAAUUGAUACUGGCAGCCUUGAGUACAGUUGAGGUAUGCGGAAUUCGUAGUGUAGCGGUGAAAUGCUUAGAUAUCACGAAGAACUCCGAUUGCGAAGGCAGCUUACUAAACUGCCACUGACAUUGAUGCUCGAAAGUGUGGGUAUCAAACAGGAUUAGAUACCCUAGUAGUC